rnacentral:hammerhead_ribozyme from 1 species
GUCCAGCUGAAGAAACCCAAAUAGGACGAAACGCGCGUCUUGGAU